AGGAUUAACGCUGGCGGCGUGCCUAACACAUGCAAGUCGAACGAGGUAGCAAUACCUAGUGGCAGACGGGUGAGUAACGCGUGGUCAACCUACCGUUGAGUGGGGGAUAACUAGCCGAAAGGUUAGCUAAUACCGCAUACGUGUCCGAGGGGCAUCCCUUGGCCAUAAAAGGAGCAAUCCGCUCGAUGACGGGACCGCGUCCCAUUAGCUAGAUGGUGGGGUAACGGCCUACCAUGGCACCGAUGGGUAGCUGGUUUGAGAGAGCGACCAGCCACACUGGGACUGAGAAACGGCCCAGACUCCUACGGGAGGCAGCAGUGAGGAAUUUUCCGCAAUGGGCGCAAGCCUGACGGAGCGACGCCGCGUGUGGGAAGAAGGCCUUCGGGUCGUAAACCACUGUCGAAGGGGACGAUAAUGACGGUACCCUUGGAGGAAGCCCGGCUAACUACGUGCCAGCAGCCGC
rnacentral:rRNA from 1 species